rnacentral:rRNA from 1 species
AUGAACGCUAGCGGCAGGCUUAACACAUGCAAGUUGGAGGGGCAGCAUGAGACGGAGAUUCGUCGAAGUCUUGAUGGCGACCGGCGCAAGGGUGCGUAACGCGUGAGCAACUUGCCCGUUUCUGGGGAAUAACCGGUGGAAACGCCGACUAAUACCCCAUAGUAUUGAGUUUAGGCAUCUUUACUCAAUUAAAGAAUUUCGGAAACGGAUAGGCUCGCGUGACAUUAGCUGGAUGGCGGGGGUAACGGGCCCACCAUGGCAACGAUGUCUAGGGGUUCUGAGAGGAAGGUCCCCCACACUGGAACUGAGACACGGCCCAGACUCCUACGGGAGACAGCAGUGAGGAAUAUUGGUCAAUGGACGCAAGUCUGAACCAGCCAUGCCGCGUGCAGGAUGACGGCUCUAUGAGUUGUAAACUGCUUUUGUAUGAGGGUAAUAUCAGGUACGUGUACCUGCUUGAAAGUAUCAUACGAAUAAGGAUCGGCUAACUCCGUG